rnacentral:rRNA from 1 species
UACGAAGGGGGCUAGCGUUGUUCGGAGUUACUGGGCGUAAAGGGCGCGUAGGCGGCCAUCUAAGUCGGACGUGAAAUCCCUCGGCUUAACCGAGGAACUGCGUCCGAUACUGGAAGGCUUGAAUCCGGGAGAGGGAUGUGGAAUUCCAGGUGUAGCGGUGAAAUGCGUAGAUAUCUGGAGGAACACCGGUGGCGAAGGCGGCAUCCUGGACCGGCAUUGACGCUGAGGCGCGAAAGCUAGGGGAGCAAACGGG